GUGGGGAAUAUUGCACAAUGGGGGGAACCCUGAUGCAGCGACGCCGCGUGAGCGAAGAAGGUAUUCGUAUCGUAAAGCUCUGUCCUAUGGGAAGAUAAUGACGGUACCAUAGGAGGAAGCUCCGGCUAACUACGUGCCAGCAGCCGCGGUAAUACGUAGGGAGCAAGCGUUGUCCGGAAUCACUGGGCGUAAAGGGUUCGCAGGCGGCAAUGCAAGUCUCGUGUGAAAGGCAAGGGCUCAACCCUUGUAAGCACAAGAAACUGCAUAGCUUGAGUAGUGGAGAGGCAAGUGGAAUUCCUAGUGUAGCGGUGAAAUGCGUAGAUAUUAGGAGGAAUACCGGUGGCGAAGGCGACUUGCUGGACACAAACUGACGCUGAGGAACGAAAGCGUGGGGAGCAAACAGGA
rnacentral:rRNA from 1 species